rnacentral:rRNA from 1 species
GAUGAACGCUGGCGGCGCGCCUAAUACAUGCAAGUCGAGCGAAUGGAUUAAGAGCUUGCUCUUAUGAAGUUAGCGGCGGACGGGUGAGUAACACGUGGGUAACCUGCCCAUAAGACUGGGAUAACUCCGGGAAACCGGGGCUAAUACCGGAUAACAUUUUGAACCGCAUGGUUCGAAAUUGAAAGGCGGCUUCGGCUGUCACUUAUGGAUGGACCCGCGUCGCAUUAGCUAGUUGGUGAGGUAACGGCUCACCAAGGCAACGAUGCGUAGCCGACCUGAGAGGGUGAGCGGCCACACUGGGACUGAGACACGGCCCAGACUCCUGCGGGAGGCAGCAGUAGGGAAUCUUCCGCAAUGGACGAAAGUCUGACGGAGCAACGCCGCGUGAGUGAUGAAGGCUUUCGGGUCGUAAAACUCUGUUGUUAGGGAAGAACAAGUGCUAGUUGAAUAAGCUGGCACCUUGACGGUACCUAACCAGAAAGCCACGGCUAACUACGUGCCAGCCGCCGCAGUAA